AGGAGGGAGGAGCGCGGGGCGGCGCGGCUGCGUGCUGAGGAGGGAGGAGCGCGGAGCGGGGCGGGGUGGCUGCGUGCUGAGGAGAGAGGAGCGCGGGGCGGCGCGGCUGCGUGCUGAGGAGGGAGGAGCGCGAGGCGGGGCGGCUGUGUGCUGAGAAGGAAGGAGCGCAGGGCUGGCCGCUCCGCGUCCGGGCGCGGGAGCGCAAGGGCUGGCGGCUCUGCGCCGGGGACGGAGUCCUGGUGUCACAGGGCUUGGGGUAGGGGGUUGCACAGGCGAACCCUAGAGAAGAUAAAGGGGAAGCGCGAGGCUGGGGUGACACCCGUAGGUAGAUGUGGUUGAGGUUGGGCUGAACGAGGGUACCAAUUUACUUUUACCUGAUGUGUGCACACUUUGAGUGCCGUCUAUCCUCCCAGACACUGACUUGGAGCAUGGGGAAGUCAUAAGGAUGGAUGCCUGUCCACGUACCAGCACAAGACUCCAAAGUGUUCGUAGACCAGUGUUCUCCUGGUCACUGCUGCCAUCACUUGGUUUGGCCGCGGCCAGGUUUGAACCCACCAUCCUCGGCAUGUGGGGCCGGCGCCCUACCCGCUGAGCCACAGGCACCGCCCAUCUUAACUUCUUAUAGGCCUUGGAUGUGUGAUGGACACAGGAUCCUUCUGUCACCCUCCAGCUCCCCAAGCUCAGCAGAUAAUGCAGGAUGCCUGGGGGAAGAAGCUGCUCAUGGCCGUGUAGCUCCUGGAGAGUGUCAUCCAUCAGGACUGUUCUUUCCUUCAAGGGGAGGAGG